GACGAACGCUGGCGGCGUGCUUAACACAUGCAAGUCGAACGGAAAGGCCCUGCUUUUGUGGGGUGCUCGAGUGGCGAACGGGUGAGUAACACGUGAGUAACCUGCCCUUGACUUUGGGAUAACUUCAGGAAACUGGGGCUAAUACCGGAUAGGAGCUCCUGCUGCAUGGUGGGGGUUGGAAAGUUUCGGCGGUUGGGGAUGGACUCGCGGCUUAUCAGCUUGUUGGUGGGGUAGUGGCUUACCAAGGCUUUGACGGGUAGCCGGCCUGAGAGGGUGACCGGGCACAUUGGGACUGAGAUACGGACCAGACUCCUACGGGAGGCAGCAGUGGGGAAUAUUGCACAAUGGGCGGAAGCCUGAUGAAGCAACGCCGCGUGCGGGAUGACGGCCUUCGGGUUGUAAACCGCUUUCGCCUGUGACGAAGCGUGAGUGACGGUAAUGGGUAAAGAAGCACCGGCUAACUACGUG
rnacentral:rRNA from 1 species